GCGUGGGGGGCGUGCGCUAAUACAUGCAAGUCGAGCGAAUCGAUGGGAGCUUGCUCCCUGAGAUUAGCGGCGGACGGGUGAGUAACACGUGGGCAACCUGCCUAUAAGACUGGGAUAACUUCGGGAAACCGGAGCUAAUACCGGAUACGUUCUUUUCUCGCAUGAGAGAAGAUGGAAAGACGGUUUACGCUGUCACUUAUAGAUGGGCCCGCGGCGCAUUAGCUAGUUGGUGAGGUAAUGGCUCACCAAGGCGACGAUGCGUAGCCGACCUGAGAGGGUGAUCGGCCACACUGGGACUGAGACACGGCCCAGACUCCUACGGGAGGCAGCAGUAGGGAAUCUUCCGCAAUGGACGAAAGUCUGACGGAGCAACGCCGCGUGAACGAAGAAGGCCUUCGGGUCGUAAAGUUCUGUUGUUAGGGAAGAACAAGUACCAGAGUAACUGCUGGUACCUUGACGGUACCUAACCAGAAAGCCACGGCUAACUACGUGCCAGCAGCCGCGGUAAUACGUAGGUGGCAAGCGUUGUCCGGAAUUAUUGGGCGUAAAGCGCGCGCAGGUGGUUCCUUAAGUCUGAUGUGAAAGCCCACGGCUCAACCGUGGAGGGUCAUUGGAAACUGGGGAACUUGAGUGCAGAAGAGGAAAGUGGAAUUCCAAGUGUA
rnacentral:rRNA from 1 species